AAAAGGAAGCAGAGCAAGCAAUUCUUCAAAUACCACCCGGCUACAAAUGUAUGCAAAGUACAAACUCACAACUGCAGAUCGUCUGCAGACAUAGGAGGUGUGUCUUCUGGAGCCUCAACCUUUUUAGUCUAAGCAGGCCAAGAGAUCGGAAGCAAGUAUUUCCCCAGUGACACGUUUCCCCAGCGCUAGCUCCUUGGGGAGGGCUCCACCUGCUGCAGGGAGGUGGUAUGGCACCAAAGAGAGGCCCUCACGUGCAUCACCCCAGAAAAGUCCAGC